UGCCAGCCGCCGCGGUAAUACGUAGGGACCAAGCGUUGUCCGGAUUUAUUGGGCGUAAAGAGCUCGUAGGCGGUUUCGUAAGUCGGGUGUGAAAAAUCUGGGCUCAACCCAGUGGAGCACCCGAUACUGCGAUGACUGGAGUCCGGUAGAGGAGUGUGGAAUUUCUGGUGUAGCGGUGAAAUGCGCAGAUAUCUGAAGGAACAUCAGUGGCGAAGGCGACCUCCUGGACUGAUAUUGACGCUGAGGUGCGAAAGCGUGGGGAGCAAACAGGAUUAGAUA
rnacentral:rRNA from 1 species